GGAGAGGUGGGUGAGUGGCUGAAACCAACAGUUUGCUAAACUGUCGUAUCUAACAAGAUACCGGGGGUUCGAAUCCCCCCUUCUCCG
rnacentral:tRNA from 1 species